UAAUUUAUAAAUUAAAUAAUUAAAUAAAUUAAAUAAUUAAAUAAUUAAAUCUUAAUGGUUUAUUAGGUUCAAUUCCUAUAAAGAUUAUAUAAAUAUUAAUAAAUAAUAAAUAAUAAAUUAAUAUAUUAAUUAAAUAAUAUAAUUUAUUAUAAAGAAUUAUAUUAUAAUCUAAUAUUUAUUAAAUAAUAAUUUAAUAAUAUUUUAAUAAU
rnacentral:tRNA from 1 species